GAUGAAGAACGUAGCGAAAUGCGAUAAGUAAUGUGAAUUGCAGAAUUCAGUGAAUCAUCGAAUCUUUGAACGCACAUUUCGCCCGCCAGUAUUCUGGCGGGCAUGCCUGUUCGAGCGUCAUUACAACCCUCAGGCCCCCGGGCCUGGCGUUGGGGAUCGGCGGAGCCCCCCGUGGGCACACGCCGUCCCCCAAAUGCAGUGGCGGUCCCGCCGCAGCUUCCAUCGCGUAGUAGCUAACACCUCGCGACUGGAGAGCGGCGCGGCCACGCCGUAAAACACCCAACUCUUCUGAAGUUGACCUCGAAUCAGGUAGGAAUACCCGCUGAACUUAAGCAUAUCAAUAAGCGGAGGA
rnacentral:misc_RNA from 1 species